UCCUACGGGAGGCAGCAGUGGGGAAUAUUGCACAAUGGGCGAAAGCCUGAUGCAGCAACGCCGCGUGCGGGAUGAAGGCCCUAGGGUUGUAAACCGCUUUCAGCAGGGAAGAAAAUGACGGUACCUGUAGAAGAAGGUGCGGCCAACUACGUGCCAGCAGCCGCGGUGACACGUAGGCACCAAGCGUUGUCCGGAUUUAUUGGGCGUAAAGAGCUCGUAGGCGGUUCAGUAAGUCGGGUGUGAAAACUCUGGGCUCAACCCAGAGACGCCACCCGAUACUGCUGUGACUAGAGUGCGGUAGGGGAGCGGGGAAUUCCUAGUGUAGCGGUGAAAUGCGCAGAUAUUAGGAGGAACACCAGUGGCGAAGGCGCCGCUCUGGGCCGUAACUGACGCUGAGGAGCGAAAGCGUGGGUAGCAAACAGGAUUAGAUACCCUGGUAGUCCACGCCGUAAACGUUGGGCACUAGGUGUGGGUCUCAACCAACGAGAUCCGCGCCGUCGCUAACGCAUUAAGUGCCCCGCCUGGGGAGUACAGUCGCAAGGCUAAAACUCA
rnacentral:rRNA from 1 species